CUGAUUACUAGUGCACGCUCUGAAAAGGCAGAGAGACACCACCUUUAUCUCCUCCAGAAUGACUGGGAAGGGAGUCAAAUCACACUUAAUGACAUACAUAACUGCAACUUUCCGAGACUAUACAACUUAAAAGCCACCCUACCCUCCCAUACGGAAAUAAGAGACUUCCUCACACGACAGAUCAAAUCCAGAAUACUGGCGAAUGUUCAGCGCUCCUUGGAUCUUCCUAUAAUGAGCUAUGAAUAUUAUGCUGUAAUAAAAUAAUUACCCCUCGAGAAAAGUCCAGGCCUGGACGGUCUCACUGCAAAAUACUAUAAAACAUUCUCCUCCUC